rnacentral:lncRNA from 1 species
UUGUUGCCGUCAGCUAGGUACCUAGGUGACCUAGGGACGAAAUGAUCGAAAUCUCUCUUUAGUUUUUGGCGGUGCUUUUUGGAACGGUCGCUCCACCGGCUGAUGCACGCUUGAACUACUUGAACGGGCUUGGGCUUUCAUCUCCUGUCUCUACACCGACGACGAUGACCGCGAGUCGGGCAGCUUUCGUUUCGACAACGUAGUACGCGAACCGGUGCUCCGUAGCGACUUCGUCGUGGCUACCUCGAACAACAUCCAUGACCUGGACGUCGAAGGCGAGGAUGCUGCAUUGCGCUGCCUUGCCACAAUUGAGUGCCCAUGCUGCAAGUUCAGUCGUAACCUCGUGGAGUGGGUGGGAUCCAACUUCAUGGAGAAAAACAUGUGUGCCGAUUUGUCCGGCGUGGGAUGCAACAACUCCGAUGGGUGAGAGAACAAGUAGAGAGAAAUUCUCGGCGAGGCGAGAUUUGAAC